rnacentral:lncRNA from 1 species
CAAUAUACCGACACCCCUGGCGGCCCAUGGAAGGUCUACGGUGUGGCCCGCCGCCCCCGGCCGACGUGGUUAGCCAAAAGCCAUGUUGAAUAUGUCCAAUGUGAUGUUACAAACACAGAAGAAACAAUUUCCAAGAUUUCUUCUCUAACUGAUAUUACUCAUAUUUUCUAUGUUUCUUGGAUGGGAAAUGAAGAUUGUAGCAUGAAUGCUGUCAUGUUCCAAAACAUCCUUAAUUCAGUCAUACCAAAUGCUCCAAAUCUCCAACAUAUUUGCCUCCAAACUGGAAGCAAACACUAUAUUGGACUGUUCGAAACGGAUACACCAGAAUCACACGACACACCAUAUUCCGAGGACUUAGCUCGACUGAAGCAACCGAAUUUCUAUCAUAAUCUUGAAGACAUUCUCUUUGAAGAAACGGCGAAAAAGGGCUUAACAUGGUCGGUCCACCGGCCUGCACUAAUUUUUGGUUUCUCCCCAUGUAGCCUGAUGAAUAUUGUUAGUACUCUUUCUGUUUAUGCUGCAAUUUGCAAGCAUGAGAACAAGCCUUUAGUAUAUCCCGGAUCGAAGGCUUCGUGGAAUUGUUUCGUAGAUGCUGCAGAUGCCGAGUUGGCUGCCGAGCAUCAGAUAUGG